rnacentral:rRNA from 1 species
AAGUGGAAGCACAGCAAUGUGUGGAGCUGACCGGUACUAAUAGGCCGAGGGCUUGUUUCU